GCUUGACUGUAGCUUGUAAUUGGGUUCGGGCUUUUUUUGCGCAGCCUAGGUGGGAGGCAACGAUGAUUUUUUUCCGGAAAAAUUUAAGCCGUUAGUGAGAGACCACUCUGAAAAGGCUAGAAUCCUAAUAAUGAUCCUUGAAUCAGGACAUUUGACAGUUGCAGGUGGGCAGUUUUACUGGGGCGGUAUUCUCCUAAAAAGUAACGGAGGGGUGCAAAGGUUCCCUCAAGCUGGACGGAAAUCAGCUUAAGAGUGUAAAGGCAAAAGGGAGCUUGACUG
rnacentral:rRNA from 1 species